rfam:Cavia porcellus supercont2_28 genomic scaffold, whole genome shotgun sequence.
GGGGAUUUAGCUCAGUGGCAUAAGCACCUGCCUUGCAAGCAGGCAGUCGUGAGUUGGAUCCCCCCAGUACCGA